ACACAAAAGCGCAUGUGCUGUGAGCUCGAUGAGUAGGGCGGGACACGUGGUAUCCUGUCUGAAUAUGGGGGGACCAUCCUCCAAGGCUAAAUACUCCUGACUGACCGAUAGUGAACCAGUACCGUGAGGGAAAGGCGAAAAGAACCCCGGCGAGGGGAGUGAAAAAGAACCUGAAACCGUGUACGUACAAGCAGUGGGAGCACCCUUUGGGGUGUGACUGCGUACCUUUUGUAUAAUGGGUCAGCGACUUAUAUUCUGUAGCAAGGUUAACCGUAUAGGGGAGCCGUAGGGAAACCGAGUCUUAACCGGGCGUUAAGUUGCAGGGUAUAGACCCGAAACCCGGUGAUCUAGCCAUGGGCAGGUUGAAGGUUGGGUAACACUAACUGGAGGACCGAACCGACUAAUGUUGAAAAAUUAGCGGAUGACCUGUGGCUGGGGGUGAAAGGCCAAUCAAACCGGGAGAUAGCUGGUUCUCCCCGAAAGCUAUUUAGGUAGCGCCUCGUGAAUUCAUCUCCGGGGGUAGAGCACUGUUUCGGCUAGGGGGCCAUCCCGGCUUACCAACCCGAUGCAAACUGCGAAUACCGGAGAAUGUUAUCACGGGAGACACACGGCGGGUGCUAACGUCCGUCGUGAAGAGGGAAACAACCCAGACCGCCAGCUAAGGUCCCAAAGUCAUGGUUAAGUGGGAAACGAUGUGGGAAGGCCCAGACAGCCAGGAUGUUGGCUUAGAAGCAGCCAUCAUUUAAAGAAAGCGUAAUAGCUCACUGGUCGAGUCGGCCUGCGCGGAAGAUGUAACGGGGCUAAACCAUGCACCGAAGCUGCGGCAGCGAACGUAUCACUUAAAGCGAUUCAGCGGGUUACGAUUGACGGAGCGAAGCGACGUCAAAGCGUAUACAAAGUCGAGUCGGUUUAAGGAUACGUUCGUUGGGUAGGGGAGCGUUCUGUAAGCCUGUGAAGGUGGCCUGUGAGGGUUGCUGGAGGUAUCAGAAGUGCGAAUGCUGACAUA
rnacentral:rRNA from 1 species